CUCAGUUGGUAGAGCGGAGGACUG
rnacentral:piRNA from 1 species